CGGCUCCUAUGAACAGCGAUAAGGGGAGUCCGGCCAAUGGACGGCAGGUGCCUGCGCUCUGAAGCGGCUCUGACGCUUUACCUGCCAAGGCCCUGUGCUGCUGAGCUAAAUCCCCAGCCCCCGAGAUUUACUUCUUACAGUUGUGGAACCUGGGAAGGCUGAGGGCACUCUGCACAGGAGCAUCAUCCCCUGGUAGAAGGGGACAGAGCAAGAAAGCACACAUGGGAACAGCAGAGGGACAAGCUCGUGUUCCUGACAGACCCACCCCGGCAGUGACAAAAAUGGCAUUAACCCAUUCAUGAGGACAGGGCCCUCGUGACCUAAUCACCUCGUCACAGGAACGCUGGAGGAUACAUUCAAAGUGGAGCCCUUGCAACGUGAUGAAAACUGCUCAGGGAGCUGGGGACACGGCGAAUUGUGCUACCGUCACUGAGCGGGAGAAGCCGGUGUGAGGGCUGCCUGCCCCGGCCUCCGAGUGGAGCAGGCCUCUGGGUCCCACACUCGUCACAGCAUCAGCCGUGCUCACGGUAGCUGCUCAAGUACUAAAGGCACAGCCAGGAUAUUCAGAGCCAAGGUGAACACAGAACACGGGCUGAUGGCCCUGGGGCUGAGCAACGGACCCAAGAUCAGUGAAAGGAAGAUAACCCAACCUCCAUGUCCGCCUGGAUGAUGGUUUUUAGACAGCAUUAAAUCCCCAUCUUCCACACUGCUAGCGUCAGCCACUCCUUCAGGCUUGCCCUGUAGCUGACGCUGAACAAAACCGGAAAUGGAAAUCUUGCACGGCCCCCAACAUAGUCAGGGGCAGCCUGGGGUGGGGGAGCAGCUGGACCAACACAUGGAGCCGUCUCCACCGGUUUGGGGACAGAGCGCUUCCUGAUCUCAACACCAGGGCGUAAAGCAUCUGGCCUCGCCCCUCCCCCUGCGCCCCGGACUGCACAACUGUCAAGUCCGGCUGUCUCGUUUUGUGGGCCACGGGUCCAAGGCUAUUCGGGAAAUUGCUGUUGAAAGUAGAGCCCCUGGGGGGAGAAGCAAGUUGGUGUUCAAAUUGAGGUUGAUUUGCUGUUUUCACCCAGGCACAGGUUUCCAGGAGAGUGACUGGGGGUGAGAAGGGCCUCCUAGAUCCCCAGGGCGCUCAGCAUGAGACCAAUGAGAAGCCCUGACUGUCACCUUUUCCUGUGUAGGCCAGAGGGGGCGGGGUGCGGUUAAUAGCUGUCACACCCCAGAAGGGACCAGGACAACUUCCCGCUGCCGCACCCAUGAGGUUGCUUUGUGGUCACCACCAGGCUGCUCCAACAGGAAGUGCAGUUUGGCCACCAGAUGCAGUGCCCCCUGCUCCAGCCACUGCUGCCAUCUCUUUGGAGAAGAACAGGAACCACCCUGCCACGGCUAAAAUCAAGGCGGGGGGAAUCUGGACCCACUGUUAACAUCCCCAAAUCCCAAUAGAUACGAUGGACACAGAUAAUCCUCCUGAAGAUUCCUGUUUCAGUUCCCCCAAUAUUCAAGGAGGUGUGACAGCUGGUAAUCAAUCAGCUUACCUGCUGCCAUGACAGCGGGGCUGCCCUGGAUGCCCCAUUCAUUUGAACCAACCAUGGCCUGCACUUGAACCAAUCAAAAGGCCCAAAUCUGAACCAAUCACAGACUUACACUUGAACCAGUCACAGGCCUGCAGCUGCUACACAGGCAGCCUCUCCUCACACUUCUUGGUUAGUCUCGGAGGGCUCUGUCCAGUGUGCUGAACCCCUGUACUCCUGCACAGGUCCUGUUAAAAUAAAAACUCACUCCAGUGGUCUUGUAA